rnacentral:rRNA from 1 species
GACGAACGCUGGCGGCAUGCCUAACACAUGCAAGUCGAACGAGACCUUCGGGCCUUGUUGGGCACCUGUGCUUGACGCCGGGGAACCUGCCCUUAGGUUCGGUAUCCUUCCCUGAAGGGGAUCUUAAUACCGGUUAAUGUCUUCGCACCAAAGAUUUAUUGCCGUUGGAUGGGCCCGCGUUGGCUUCGCUAGUUGGUAGGGUACAAGCCUACCAAGGCGACGAUCCAUAGCUGGUCUGAGAGGAUGACAAGCCACACUGGGAAUGAGACACGGCCCAGACUCCGACGCGAGAGAGCAGAGGAGAGUAUUGUAGAAGGGGCGCAAGCCUGAUACAGCAAUGCCGCGGAAGAGAUGAAGGCCGUAGUGUUGUAAAGCUCUUUGACCCGAGAUGAUAAUGACAGUACCGGGAGAAGAAGCACCGGCUAACUACGUG